UGGCCCAAACAAGAAACGUCCGAUCAAAGAAUACGGUUCUAUUCGAUUUUUAUACGCUUUCGGCAACUAAUUUCUUCGUACCGUUUUACCUCAGGCCCCUUUUGUUCAAUGCGCUUUGUUAGUUGAUUGAUUUAAGGUCUCAUUUGUUAUGUAACUGCGAUUCAGUGUUGUGGGAUUGAUCGGAAAACAAACAGCCCAAUAAAGAUCGAAGACAACUCUUAAAUGUUAAUUGAGUUUGUAAGCCGCAAAAACGUCGUUAGUAAUGUUUCUAAAGAAGCGAAGUAGAAGGAAAAAGGGAAUCGCUGGAAAUCUCUCAACGGGAAAUGUUUCUGUGGAUUGUUGCGACAUUGAUGAUUUUUGUGCAGAGUGUUAUUUCCGGAUAUAUUGAAAAAGUGAUUGUUAGUGGCUGUGAAACUUGCCAACUAAUGCUCUCUUGUCGUCAGUUGGAUUCCAUUAUUGCUAUUCUGGAUGUGGAUUUUAAUUCAACUGAAGCAGGACUAGCCAAAAAGAUUCACGGCACAUUUCCUCCGGAUCAUCCCAGAGACGCUCUUAAUAAAAGAUGUUCAGGCCUUAAUUACUGUAGCUUUAUACUGAGUGAAGACAGUCCGGGUAGUGAAGCUUUGGGAGCUGGAAAUUUAACGAUAAAAUACGCUUGUGUCACAAGAGACCGAGUGAAUCCCUACUGUAACACGAAAAUCCAGCUCAACGAAUUGCGCUCUUCUGGAAUAAUUCACAAUCCAGGAUAUCCUAGAUUCUAUGCGGGAAAACGCGACUGCAUCUGGAAGAUAUUUGCGACUCCUUAUCAGAAAGUCAAAUUAAAAAUCCUAGAUAUAGCUCUUUUCGAUACGCGAGUAUUGCUACAAGAAGACUGUAAAGACACACUGGAAAUCAAAGACAGUGGUCAAACGAUUUUUUCCACUUGUAGUCAAAACGAUCCACCAUCGGAGGUAAUUUCCGCAACCGAAUCUGUAGAGGUAGUGUUAACAUCUCGUCAACUUAUCAACCCAAGAAGAGGCGUUUUAAUUUACUACUCAUCGGUUGGUUGCCUGCCAGUUCCAGCACCCAAGCAGGCGUUCCUGGUGUUCCAGAAUCAAUCAGUAGCCAGCUAUUCCUGCUGCAAAGGCUACGUUUUCCCGGACACCCAAACCGAAAAUAGGACAAUUAAAUGCUAUGGGGAUUCUUGGAAUGUUUCACUGCCAUUAUUAGAUUGCGAGAAACCUGAAGUUUCACAGGCUAUUCUUCUUCAGAACAGCGUCAAACUAGUUGAAACGAUGGCUUCCGAUUUGCUGGCCCCCAUUUUGCUGAUGAUUAUUCUGUUUGCUCUUAACGGCAUUGUCAUCUUCUACAUACAUAAAGCUAGAAAGAAUGAUUUUAGGCGACGAGGGUCUUCAAAUUUCGAUAUCCCGUCGCAAAGACGUCUUUAUUACGGUUCCAUUGGAAACGAUACUAGUUCUUUGAGAGGUGCUAUAUAAAUAAAUAGAAAAUAAUGGACUGCUUCGCAUUUUUGCAAAAAAAUCAUUCCAAACAAUCAAGCUCAAAUGAAUACCUAACAGGUUCCGGAUUAUGUUUUCUUGAAAUUACUGUAAUCAGGCUUUCCUAAAUCAUUUUUGCAAAACUUCCAGGCAGUAAGUAACAUCUCUCAUACUAACUGGCCCGCAUUUUCCAUUAUCAUGCUUAGAAACUUCAAUUUCCACGUGCAUGAUAGCGAAUAAUUUGCCCAUUGUGAAUGAAAAAUGAAAACAUGCAAACAGUUGAAGUCGUCGAUGAAGAACUGGGCACUUUCACUCAAACUAAGCAAUGAGAGGCUGCCUUAAUGUUAUAACUUCAGUAAUAUUUUAUAAAUGUAUAUUGAAUGUUAAGGCUAAUUAACAAGUUUUUUAACUACACUUGCAUUGACUAAGCCCUGGCAGUAGUCAAAGUAAGGUAUCCGUUGAGCUUCAAACAUAUAUGUAAUAUAUUUUUUCUAAGUA